AUUGAACGCUGGCGGCAGGCCUAACACAUGCAAGUCGAGCGGAUGAAGGGAGCUUGCUCCUGGAUUCAGCGGCGGACGGGUGAGUAAUGCCUAGGAAUCUGCCUGGUAGUGGGGGAUAACGUCCGGAAACGGGCGCUAAUACCGCAUACGUCCUGAGGGAGAAAGUGGGGGAUCUUCGGACCUCACGCUAUCAGAUGAGCCUAGGUCGGAUUAGCUAGUUGGUGGGGUAAAGGCCUACCAAGGCGACGAUCCGUAACUGGUCUGAGAGGAUGAUCAGUCACACUGGAACUGAGACACGGUCCAGACUCCUGAGGGAGGCAGCAGUGGGGAAUAUUGGACAAUGGGCGAAAGCCUGAUCCAGCCAUGCCGCGUGUGUGAAGAAGGUCUUCGGAUUGUAAAGCACUUUAAGUUGGGAGGAAGGGCAGUAAGUUAAUACCUUGCUGUUUUGACGUUACCAACAGAAUAAGCACCGGCUAACUUCGUG
rnacentral:rRNA from 1 species